UGCCGUGAACCCUACAGUGGCAAAGAAAUAAAUUCAACAACCUGAGGGAGUAUGCACAGAGAUCUUUACCUGGUCAAGCCUCUGAUGAGAACCCAACCUUGACCAACACCUUGAUUGCCACCAGAUGAGGUUUCAUGUGCUGCCCAGGAUGAGCCACUGUGCCCGGCCAAAUGAGCUAUUUAUGAUGAUCAUGAGGACACAAGAUAAGGAAAUCCAAUCAGUUGCUACGUGCUGAUGAUUCUGAUUCUGGCCCUGCAGUAUCGCUUGCAUGCACCUCCUUCUCCCUGGGCUCACUGCUGGAGAAAAGAGAACCUUGGCUGAUGAUUUAUGGAUCUACAAGAUUGAUAGAUUACAUGCCGAAGGAAGUCACCACCAUCACAUAUUGGAUUUCAGCAAGCAUUUGAUAAAAUUGCUUAUAAUAUUUUGGCCAAUAUUGGAUGGAAAAAUAUUGAGGAGAUGAUGUAGUGCUGAAGAAAGACAAGAUGCUGAGGAAGACAAGACUGGUUAACAGAUCAUGGCAUU